UACAGAGGUCUCAAGCGUUGUUCGGAUUCAUUGGGCGUAAAGGGUGCGUAGGCGGCGCGGUAAGUCGGGUGUGAAAUCUCGGAGCUUAACUCCGAAACUGCAUUCGAUACUGCCGUGCUUGAGGACUGGAGAGGAGACUGGAAUUUACGGUGUAGCGGUGAAAUGCGUAGAUAUCGGGAAGAACACCCGUGGCUAAGGCGGCUCUCUAGUACGGUACUGACGCUGAGACGCGAAAGCGUGGGGAGCGAACGAGG
rnacentral:rRNA from 1 species